rnacentral:rRNA from 1 species
CCUACGGGCGGCUGCAGUGGGGAAUAUUGCACAAUGGGCGCAAGCCUGAUGCAGCCAUGCCGCGUGUGUGAAGAAGGCCUUCGGGUUGUAAAGCACUUUCAGCGGGGAGGAAGGCGGUGAGGUUAAUAACCUCAUCGAUUGACGUUACCCGCAGAAGAAGCACCGGCUAACUCCGUGCCGGCAGCCGCGGUAAUACGGAGGGUGCAAGCGUUAAUCGGAAUUACUGGGCGUAAAGCGCACGCAGGCGGUCUGUCAAGUCGGAUGUGAAAUCCCCGGGCUCAACCUGGGAACUGCAUUCGAAACUGGCAGGCUAGAGUCUUGUAGAGGGGGGUAGAAUUCCAGGUGUAGCGGUGAAAUGCGUAGAGAUCUGGAGGAAUACCGGUGGCGAAGGCGGCCCCCUGGACAAAGACUGACGCUCAGGUGCGAAGGCGUGGGGAGCAAACAGGAUUAGAUACCCCGGUAGUC